AUCCGAUCACAGAAGUUAAGCAACGUCGAGCCUGGUCAGUACCUGAAUGGGAGACCACUUGGAAAUAACAUGUGCUGUAAG